UGGUCAACAAGCCUGCUUGCAAUUCUGU
rnacentral:piRNA from 1 species